CAGGAAUUACUUGUAACUCCGGGAGGAGGCUCUGGGAGGGAAGUGGAAGAUAAAGAAUCGUAGUAUCUACACAGAAUAGUUUGGAAAAUGAGGGGGCAGGCAAAUCAAUGUGAAAUUAAUUAAAAGGAGGAGUUGAAAAUCACUUUCUUGUGAAGUCCUAGUCCUAAAACUAGGAAUCUUCAGCACGAUGUGCCUGCCUUGAGACACCGACAAAAAUGCGAGAACACUGAUGCAUUCUAAAGUCAAGCAGAUACCUGGCUGCCGGCAAGAUGCUCUCAGGGUGAAAACUUUACAUGACUAUGUGUUCUCUUCAGAAAGAGUAUUACCAAUACAAAUGCCUUCCUUCAUGUGUGCCCCACUGGAAAAGGAAACAGGUUGAGAACACCUCCAAUACGUCCCUGUUACGGAGUCUAUUACUACAUCAUGAUGUACUCUGGUUCCAUAACAGGACACAUCUCAACACCAGCAUCUCAGCAGUGGGAAGACAGAGAGAAUUUGCCACUCCAUGUGGCAAAUAAAGGCUUUCGCUCCAUUGUU